UAUAAUCUAAUAUUGUUUCGAU
rnacentral:siRNA from 1 species